rnacentral:tRNA from 2 species
GGGCCUGUAGCACAGCGGUCAGUGCAGGGGACUCAUAAUCCCUUGGUCCUCGGUUCGAAUCCGAGCGGGCCCACCA